rnacentral:rRNA from 1 species
ACGGAAGGCAGCAGUGGGGAAUAUUGCACAAUGGGCGCAAGCCUGAUGCAGCGAUGCCGCGUGAGGGAAGGAGGUUUUCGGAUUGUAAACCUCUGUCAACAGGGACGAAAAUGACGGUACCUGUGAAGGAAGCUCCGGCUAACUACGUGCCAGCAGCGGCGGUAAUACGUAGGGAGCAAGCGUUAUCCGGAAUUACUGGGUGUAAAGGGAGUGUAGGCGGGACUGUAAGUCAGAUGUGAAAUAUGCCGGCUCAACUGGCAGACUGCAUUUGAAACUGCGGGUCUUGAGUGAAGUAGAGGUAAGCGGAAUUCCUAGUGUAGCGGUGAAAUGCGUAGAUAUUUGGAGGAACAUCAGUGGCGAAGGCGGCUUUCUGGUCUUUAACUGACGCUGAGGCUCGGAAGCGUGGGGAGCAAACAGGAUUAGAUACCCUGGUA